UCGAGAAUCAUUCGCAAUGGGCGAAAGCCUGACGAUGCGACGCCGUGUGAGCGAAGAAGGCCUUAGGGUCGUAAAGCUCUUUCGCCUGGGAACAAGAGGAGAUGGCUAAUACCCAUCGAAUUUGAGCGUACCAGGUAAAGAAGCACCGGCUAACUCCGUGCCAGCAGCUGCGGUAAUACGGAGGGUGCAAGCAUUAAUCGGAUUUAUUGGGCGUAAAGGGCGCGUAGGCGGAAAGACAAGUCAGAUGUGAAAUCCCGGGGCUCAACCUCGGAACUGCAUUUGAAACUGUCUUCCUUGAGGGUAGGCGGAGAAAACGGAAUUCCACAAGUAGCGGUGAAAUGCGUAGAUAUGUGGAAGAACACCGGUGGCGAAGGCGGUUUUCUAGCUUAUUCCUGACGCUGAGGCGCGAAAGCAAGGGGAUCAAACAGGAUUAGAUACCCCCGUAGUCC
rnacentral:rRNA from 1 species